rnacentral:misc_RNA from 1 species
GGUUACGGGGAUCCUACCUGAUCCGAGGUCACCUGGGAUAAAAAAUUUGGGUUGAUCGGCAAGCGCCGGCCGGGCCUACAGAGCGGGUGACAAAGCCCCAUACGCUCGAGGACCGGACGCGGUGCCGCCGCUGCCUUUCGGGCCCGUCCCCCGGAAUCGGAGGACGGGGCCCAACACACAAGCCGGGCUUGAGGGCAGCAAUGACGCUCGGACAGGCAUGCCCCCCGGAAUACCAGGGGGCGCAAUGUGCGUUCAAAGACUCGAUGAUUCACUGAAUUUGCAAUUCACAUUACGUAUCGCAUUUCGCUGCGUUCUUCAUCGAUGCCGGAACCAAGAGAUCCGUUGUUGAAAGUUUUAAAUAAUUUAUAUUUUCACUCAGACGACAAUCUUCAGGCAGAGUUCGGGGGUGUCUUCGGCGGGCGCGGGCCCGGGGGCGUGAGCCCCCCGGCGGCCAGUUAAGGCGGGCCCGCCGAAGCAACGAGGUAAAUAAACACGGGUGGGAGGUUGGACCCAAAGGGCCCUCACUCGGUAAUGAUCCUUCCGCAGCCCCCUUUUCGGAAAAGGUAAGGAGUGAA